GCUGGGCAUGGUGGCACAUGCCUGUCAUCCCAACUACUAGGGAGGCUGAGAUGGGAGGACUGCUUGAGCCCAGGAGUUCCAGGAUGCAGUGAGCUAUGAUCACACCACUGUGCUCCAGCCUGGGUGACAGAGCAGGACCCUGUCUCAA
ensembl:misc_RNA Metazoa_SRP Metazoan signal recognition particle RNA